rnacentral:rRNA from 1 species
GCCGCGGUAAUACGUAGGUGGCAAGCGUUGUCCGGAAUUAUUGGGCGUAAAGCGCGCGCAGGCGGCUUCCUAAGUCCAUCUUAAAAGUGCGGGGCUUAACCCCGUGAUGGGAUGGAAACUGGGAAGCUGGAGUAUCGGAGAGGAAAGUGGAAUUCCUAGUGUAGCGGUGAAAUGCGUAGAGAUUAGGAAGAACACCGGUGGCGAAGGCGGCUUUCUGGACGAGCACUGACGCUGAGGCGCGAAAGCGUGGGGAGCGAACAGGAUUAGAUACCCUGGUAGUCCACGCCGUAAACGGUGGAUGCUGGAUGUGGGGCCCGUUCCACGGGUUCCGUGUCGGAGCUAACGCGUUAAGCAUCCCGCCUGGGGAGUACGGCCGCAAGGCUAAAACUCAAAGAAAUUGACGGGGGCCCGCACAAGCGGCGGAGCAUGCGGAUUAAUUCGAUGCAACGCGAAGAACCUUACCAAGGCUUGACAUGCACUGGACUGGCCCAGAGAUGGGUUUUCCUUUUUGGCUGGUGUGCAGGUGGUGCAUGGUUGUCGUCAGCUCGUGUCGUGAGAUGUUGGGUUAAGUCCCGCAACGAGCGCAACCCUCGCCCCGUGUUGCCAGCGGAUUAUGCCGGGAACUCACGGGGGACCGCCGGGGUUAACUCGGAGGAAGGUGGGGAUGACGUCAGAUCAUCAUGCCCCUUACGUCCAGGGCUUCACGCAUGCUACAAUGGCCGGUACAACGGGAUGCGACAGUGCGAGCUGGAGCGGAUCCCUGAAAACCGGUCUCAGUUCGGAUCGCAGUCUGCAACUCGACUGCGUGAAGGCGGAGUCGCUAGUAAUCGCGAAUCAGCAACGUCGCGGUGAAUGCGUUCCCGGGCCUUGUACACACCGCCCGUCAAGUCAUGAAAGUGGGCAGCACCCGAAGCCGGUGGCCUAACCCCUUGCGGGAGGGAGCCGUCUAAGGUGAGGCUCGUGAUUGGGACUAAGUCGUAACAAGGUAGCCGUACCGGAAGGUGCGGCUG